UACGUAGGGUGCGAGCGUUGUCCGGAAUUAUUGGGCGUAAAGGGCUCGUAGGCGGUUUGUCGCGUCGGGAGUGAAACCUUGGGCUUAACUCAGGGCUUGCUUUCGAUACGGGCAGACUAGAGGUAUGCAGGGGAGAACGGAAUUCCUGGUGUAGCGGUGAAAUGCGCAGAUAUCAGGAGGAACACCGAUGGCGAAGGCAGAUCUCUGGGCCGUAACUGACGCUGAGGAGCGAAAGCAUGGGGAGCGAACAGG
rnacentral:rRNA from 1 species